CUCAAGGAUCCCGAAUUAUAGGCUCAAUGUCCUUUAAUUAUGGCUAGAAACCGAUUAUGAGUGUCCAAUGUGAGUAGCAGCUGGUAGAUUCUGGGCAAGGCUUGGUACAGCCUGGAAAGUCUCUCAAACUCUCCUGUGCAGCCUCUGAAUUCAUCUUCUGUGACUAUAGCAUGGACUGGGUCCGCAAGGCUCCAGAGAAUGGACUGGAUUGUGUUGCUUAUAUUAGUGAUGGUAGUGUUACCAUCUACCAUGCCGACACUGUGAAAGGCUGAUUCACCAUCUCCAGAGGCAAUGCCAAGAGCACCCUGUACCUGCAAAUGAGCAGUCUGAGGUCUGAGGACACAGCCAUGCAUUAAAGAGUCACCAAGAUAAAAUUACUGUGAGCUAAGACACAAACCUCCCUGCAAGGUGCUCAGGACCAGCAGGAGGAGCUGAGAGCACACAGCUCGGGUCACAGAAGAACCUGCUCAGAAGGGGGUACAAUGUUGAACUCCUCUGUGUCUUGACUGCUUCUCUAUAUCACAAUCAGGGAUCCCCUCUACAGAUACUAUAUAUAGUAACUCUUGAUGAGUCCACACAUUUAUUUAAAUUUCUGCUUUUGUUUUAGUUAGGGUUUACGUUGCUGUGAAGAGACAGCAUGACAUUGUCAACAAUUAUAAAGGAAAGCAUUUAAUUCA